AGGGUUUGAUCAUGGCUCAGAACGUACGCUGGCGGCACGCCUAACACAUGCAAGUCGAACGCAGUAGCAAUACUGAGUGGCAGACGGGUGAGUAACAUGUGGGAAUCUGCCUUGUGGUUCAGGACAACAUUGGGAAACCGAUGCUAAUACUGGAUAAGCCCUUACGGGGAAAGUUUUAAUGCCAUAAGAUGAGCCCGCAUUUGAUUAGUUAGUUGGUGAGGUAAUGGCUCACCAAGACAAUGAUCAAUAGCUGAUUUGAGAGGAUGAUCAGCCACACUGGGACUGAGAUACGGCCCAGACUCCUACGGGAGGCAGCAGUGGGGAAUCUUGCACAAUGGAGGAAACUCUGAUGCAGCGAUGCCGCGUGAGUGAAGAAGGCCCUUGGGUUGUAAAGCUCUUUCGUCGGGGAAGAAAAUGACUGUACCCGAAUAAGAAGGUCCGGCUAACUUCGUGCCAGCAGCCGCGGUAAUACGAAGGGACCUAGCGUAGUUCGGAAUUACUGGGCUUAAAGAGUUCGUAGGUGGUUGAAAAAGUUGGUGGUGAAAUCCCAGAGCUUAACUCUGGAACUGCCAUCAAAACUUUUCAGCUAGAGUAUGAUAGAGGAAAGCAGAAUUUCUAGUGUAGAGGUGAAAUUCGUAGAUAUUAGAAAGAAUACCAAUUGCGAAGGCAGCUUUCUGGAUCAUUACUGACACUGAGGAACGAAAGCAUGGGUAGCGAAGAGGAUUAGAUACCCUCGUAGUCCAUGCCGUAAACGAUGUGUGUUAGACGUUGGAAAUUUAUUUUCAGUGUCGCAGCGAAAGCGAUAAACACACCGCCUGGGGAGUACGACCGCAAGGUUAAAACUCAAAUGAAUUGACGGGGACCCGCACAAGUAGUGGAGCAUGUGGUUUAAUUCGAAGAUACGCGCAGAACCUUACCAACACUUGACAUGUUCGUCGCGACUCUAAGAGAUUAGAGUUUUCGGUUCGGCCGGACGAAACACAGGUGCUGCAUGGCUGUCGUCAGCUCGUGUCGUGAGAUGUUGGGUUAAGUCCCGCAACGAGCGCAACCCUCACUUUUAGUUGCCAUCAUUAAGUUGGGCACUCUGAAAGAACUGCCAGUGAUAAGCUGGAGGAAGGUGGGGAUGACGUCAAGUCCUCAUGGCCCUUACGUGUUGGGCUACACACGUGCUACAAUGGUAUCUACAACAGGAAGCAAAACUGCGAAGUUAAGCAAAUCCCUAAAAGAUACCUCAGUUCGGAUUGCACUCUGCAACUCGAGUGCAUGAAGCUGGAAUUACUAGUAAUCGUGGAUCAGCGUGCCACGGUGAAUGCGUUCCCGGGUCUUGUACACACCGCCCGUCACACCAUGGGAGUUGGUUCUACCUUAAGGCAAGGUUUCAAACCCUUGACCACGGUAUAGUCAGCGACUGGGGUGAAGUCGUAAC
rnacentral:rRNA from 1 species